GCGUAUCACCAUUCCAGAUUGAAUAUACCCGAUCUCGUGCUGAUCUCGAGAAGUCAAGCAAUCUCGGGCUUGGUUAGUACUUGGAUGGGUGACCGCUUGGGAAUACCAAGUGUGAUAAGCA
rfam:Ciona savignyi cont_37970, whole genome shotgun sequence.